rnacentral:rRNA from 1 species
GCUAAUACCGGAUAACAACACUAGACGCAUGUCUAGAGUUUAAAAGAAUGGUUCUGCUAUCACUCUUGGAUGGACCUGCGGUGCAUUAGCUAGUUGGUAAGGUAACGGCUUACCAAGGCAAUGAUGCAUAGCCGAGUUGAGAGACUGAUCGGCCACAUUGGGACUGAGACACGGUCCAAACUCCUACGGGAGGCAGCAGAC